GGAAUUGAGAUGAGAGCUUUAUUUACUUGUUGCAGGAUGAGACAUUGAGACAAGCAGUUUGUAAGUUUAAUGGCAAGAGCUGGAAGAAAAUAGCUAAGCUGAAGUAGAUGGGAAACUCAAUUUUACUUACUGCAGAUGGCAACGCAACUUUAUACACACAUUCAUGUAGUGGCAGUGUAGGUAUAAACUCAUCGAUCAACGGAUGAAGCUUCCGCUUAUCGGAUGAAACCUUCGCCUCCAAGUGCAUAAGGAUCUCUUUAUCCGACGGGUCGAAUUUGACUCCUGCCGGUAAACUUGAAGAACAAGUCAUAAUGGGAGAUUCAACGAUAAUCUUUGAAUCUGGACGGCUCGUGACACAUGAUGGAGAUUGAUCUUUGAGUUGAAUCGAUG